UCCGUAGCUCAGUGGUUAGAGCAUCCGACCGGUGUACGGAAGGUCAUCGGUUCAAAUCGACGCUCGUAACAA